rnacentral:rRNA from 1 species
AUGGGGGAGACGGAUUUGGAGGACGCGGUGCUCUCCUGGUCGAUCCAGGAGAUCAACGACGACCACCUCUACAGGGACAAGGUUGUGACCAUUCCCUGCAACUUCAAGUCACUUGAUCACUAUCUCGUGUCGUUUCGUGUGCCUCUGAUUGAAGAAACAAGGUCAGAUCUAUGCUCACGCCUUCAACUCAUCUGUGAAGCACCCUCGUCGAAAAUACGUUCCAUGGAGGUAGCAGGAAAAUCGGGAUUAUACGUCAUGGAUGUGGACUUUUGGGAUAAUGAUGCUGGUUUUUCUACUGGGGAUUAUACUACGAGGAAUGGUGAUAUAUUUAUUUUGUCUAGCAUAAAACCUGAAGCUGCAGAGGACUUAAACCGCCAUGGUGUGACAUACUGCUUGGCAAUGGUUACUGAGGUUUCUAUGGAUGAUGAAUACCAGAAGGGCUUCAGGGUCAAAGUUGCAAAGAAUAUUGGUUUGGAAGAAGACUUAAACAAACUCAAACAUGCAAUAUUUCUCAGCAAUAUCACGACAAGCAUGCGGAUAUGGAAAGCACUUACCUUUGACACGCACAUGGAUAACAAUUUCACAGUAAUCAAGUCGCUCUUAGCCCCCACAAAUUUGGGCGAGGAUGUUUGCGAUGUCUGUAUUAAACAGGAUGGGGGCUGCUUGGCUUCUUUCACAGAGCAACUACUUUCGAUUAAGCUGUACAGUGUGGGCAUGUGA